AUGGCCAAUCAACCAUUAAAUUGGAAAAGGAGAGAUGGCAGUCUCAAAAAGACAGUAGAGAAUCCAUAUGCUCUCCUCACAUUCAUCUUAAAAGCUGCAGGUAUUUAUUGUUUUGCUCCUGGUUGUUGUUGUUGUAGCUUUGGUUCUUCUUCUGGGGUUUUUGGUUUCUCCUUUUCUGAAGAACCUUAUUGGUGCUUAAUGGAUUCCAAUUCUAUUUAUAUGCUAGUUUGA